UUUUGGACAAUGGGCGCAAGCCUGAUCCGGCAAUGCCGCGUGAGUGAAGAAGGCCUUCGGGUUGUAAAGCUCUUUUGUCGGAGAAGAAACGGUGAGCUCUAAUACAGUUUGCUAAUGACGGUACCUGAAGAAUAAGCACCGGCUAACUACGUGCCAGCAGCCGCGGUAAUACGUAGGGUGCAAGCGUUAAUCGGAAUUACUGGGCGUAAAGCGUGCGCAGGCGGUUAUGUAAGUCAGAUGUGAAAUCCCCGGGCUCAACCUGGGAAUGGCAUUUGAGACUGCAUGGCUAGAGUGUGUCAGAGGGGGGUAGAAUUCCACGUGUAGCAGUGAAAUGCGUAGAGAUGUGGAGGAAUACCGAUGGCGAAGGCAGCCCCCUGGGAUAACACUGACGCUCAUGCGCGAAA
rnacentral:rRNA from 1 species